ACUCCUACGGGAGGCAGCAGUGGGAAUAUUGGACAAUGGGGGCAACCCUGAUCCAGCCAUGCCGCGUGAGUGAAGAAGGCCCUAGGGUCGUAAAGCUCUUUCAACUGUGAAGAUAAUGACGGUAGCAGUAGAAGAAACCCCGGCAGCUACCGUGCCAGCAGCCGCGGUAAUACGGAGGGGUUAGCGUUGUUCGGAAUUACUGGGCGUAAAGCGCACGUAGGCGGACUAUUAAGUUAGAGGUGAAAUCCCAGGGCUCAACCCUGGAACUGCCUUUAAUACUGGUAGUCUUGAUUCGAGAGAGGUG
rnacentral:rRNA from 1 species